GUGCCAGCCGCCGCGGUAAUACGUAGGGUGCAAGCGUUAAUCGGAAUUACUGGGCGUAAAGCGUGCGCAGGCGGUUUUGUAAGCCAGAUGUGAAAUCCCCGAGCUUAACUUGGGAACUGCGUUUGGAACUACAAGACUAGAGUGUGUCAGAGGGGGGUAGAAUUCCACGUGUAGCAGUGAAAUGCGUAGAGAUGUGGAGGAAUACCGAUGGCGAAGGCAGCCCCCUGGGAUAACACUGACGCUCAUGCACGAAAGCGUGGGGAGCAAACAGGAUUAGAUACCCUGGUAGUCCACGCCCUAAACGAUGUCUACUAGUUGUCGGGAGAGGAAUCUCUUGGUAACGCAGCUAACGCGUGAAGUAGACCGCCUGGGGAGUACGGUCGCAAGAUUAAAACUCAAAUGAAUUGGCGG
rnacentral:rRNA from 1 species